AGCCCAGCCCAGCCCUCCGCGCUGCCGGCGCCGAGGGGCGGAGGGGAGGAGGGGCGCGGCCCGGCACCGCCCCCCGCGCCGCCCGGCGCGGCGCGGCGCGGCCGAGGGGGUGGGAACGGAGGGUUUCGCCGGGCGGAGGAGCGCGGUGCGGGCGGCGAGGCGAGGCGGCGGGGUGCCGGUCCCGACCGGCCCGCGGCAGGCGGGCAGGGGCGUACGGUGGGCCCGGGGUCUGCUGCGUGGCCGGCGGGAGGGGAGAGCGAGCCGGCUCGGAUCCGCCGGGGGAAGGGGCGCGGCGGAGCUGGGCGGUUCGUGCGCCCCCGCUGCGGCACGGCCGGCCGCCCUCAGCCCCCCACCCCGGCCCGCCGCCCCGCCCGGUGCCUCUGCCCGCAGCACCGAGAGCGGCCGGGGCGGCGGUGAGGGUGAGUACCGGCUGCGCGCCCUGCCGCCGUCUCCCACCGCUCCUCAGGGUGGGGAAACUCGGACCCGGCUCUUACAUCCAAGAAACUGCGCUGUUCUCUCUCUGCUAUCUUGCAAGAUUCAUCAAGCAGAUUCAUAGCUUUAGUUUGCUGGAGCAGAGCCUUCUCCUGAAAAACACCCCUGAGGGGCCUGCUCCACUGGUCCAGCAUGCGGCUGAGUCUCUGUCCAGGUUCCGCUCCCCCAAGUCUGUCUCUUGGGAGGUAGCGUAAGCUCAGCUGGUUGAUUUGUGUUUUAUUUCUAUGCAUUUCUUGUCUUCUGUGUAACUCAGCAGCUGCAAGUAUCCUUCAGGAAGGUGCUGUUGGCGACACUGCAGGUAGUUGGCCGUACUCUGCUGCCCUGCUUGCCUCCGUGAACUGAACCAAUGUCCCGUCAAUGUAGUAAGAUGAUUUCUGUGCCAAAUCGCUGGUCUUAUAUUGAGCUGGUGGGCUCCUGAUCAUAUGCGCUAGCAUUGUUAUGUUUUAUUUCUUAAUGGUUUUGUAAGUGGUGAUUUCAGGUUUUAUUCUUCCAGGUUCCGCCAAGUUUCUGUUGAAAUAAUUUAGUUUCCAUGUUCCUUUAUAAGAGGUUUGGGUCUGAAACCGGUAUUUUGCUGCAUCGAUAUUUGGCCCUGGGCAGGAUCACUGCUUGGAAGACAGUCCUACUACAAGUUACACACGUGUUGCCAUGUUUUAGUGCAGUGGCUCAAUCUUGAAAUUUGGGGAGUGGGAUGGUCGCCUUCCAUCUGAGCAGGGUGGUUUUGCCUUACUUGAUGUCUGUUGUGAUUCUCUGGGGAGUGGAGACAGGUGGGGUGCGAAGUGGCUGUCCAUGUAAUUAACUUUGAAACUUUAAUUCAAGAAGUUAGGUCUUAUACCUGAAUAUGCCAAGGUAUACUGUACAAUAACUGAAUUUGCCUUUUCCUGAGGUUAUGUCCCCCAGGAAGAAUAUUCACCAGGUAUUUUUAAUGAAUAUCCCUACAGCAUACUUCAGGGUGUUCUUAGUCCUUUUAAGAUCUAGUUCAGCUCUCAUGGGAUUGACUGUUGUUUAGAUACUAAUUGAGAUUGCUUAGAUUACUAUGUACUUACAAAAGAUCUUAUUUGCAUAUUUUAGCUUAAUUCCAUAAGUAUGUUCUCUAUUUUAUUUUCACAGUGCCUUUCCCCCUCUUGCCUGGAGGUAUCUCAUCUUCUUGCAUGCACCCUUCCAUGCAUUUGUCCAUCCCUUCCACCCGAGAACCAAGCAUGCAUUUCCGAGCCCUCACAACCUGAUGUCCAGCCCUGUUUCAUGGGAGGCAGAGACCCAGCGGUCGCUGCUAGCUAAGAGCUGGGCCGAGGCUACUUUAGCAGCCGCCGAAGAGGUGUGCGAGGCAUGACGUAGCAGUCCCCAGGAUUCCAGAGCCUUGCCAGUUGAAUGUGUGAUUGGACCCUUUGGAGAUAACGUUAACCAGCAUUUAUGAGUAGACAGGAAGGGCAGGUGACCAUCAACAGAAUGCAGCUUGACUUCUUUGUUAAAAUUAAACUUUACAGAGCCAAAGCUGACUCGAUGCAUCAUUUGUCACCAGCGUUACCACUGCUCACGUCAUUUUGCGGUGCUGCUCUGGUGACUUCCUCUCCAGACCAUAUUGGAUUUCCUGUGGCAGUCUUUCUCUUUACCACAAGUGCUUUCGGAAGAGCAGAGGGUAAAACUGAUUUAGAAGUGUUAGGCGUUAGCAGAUUCACUUCUGCUGAUUAAAAGCCAAGAAGCAAGGAGCAGUCUGUCUCGUAACCUCGUGGUGAUGACUGGAAAACGGGCUUUGCAGGGUCCUUCCACAGCCACUUAAGGGACUUGGCUUAAAAACAGGGAAGCCACCAAAGGCUGCAGUGAGUGUUAACUAGGAGUGAAUUGUAAAAAUGACAUAUUAAUGAGCUGAAAACUUGAAGCUAGCUUUAAAAAUAUGGUGAUACAAAAUGCAACAAUCCUUAGAGUAAGACCACAGUACAAAGUUUUAUUGCAUAGCUACAAAAAGUUGAAAAAGUUCAUGCCCAGCACUAGCAUAGCUAUGGUUCUGGUACAAAGAGCCCUGUACAACAGCACUAGAAACCAUCCAGAAAGUUCUGGAAAAAAGAUGAUUUUCUGUUGUAUCUUUCAUCAUUUGGAAAAGAGGUUUAACUCCACGUGUGGAUGAGAGUUUCAUCCUGAUAGAGAAGGUUUUACCAGUAUAGAUAGCUCAGCAAAACUUUUGUCUUUCUAAGGAUUAAUUAGGUAAGCAGUUAAGAAGAAUUUCCCUUCCUUAUCCUUUAUUUAACCAUAGUCAUAGGACCUUGCUCAGUUUUUGGAUUUUUAAGGUAAAUUCUUGAUCUUACUGGUGGCCAACAAAAAAUAAACCUUAAUCCUAGAAAUUAAAGUAUAUUAUUUGUAAAUUCUUACUUGGACAGGUAGUCUCUGGUUCAUAAUGGUUCAUAUGAGUAAGCUGUGCAGAACUAGUCUGAUGCGACCCAGCUUUCUGUGUAUUCAGGUUUAUCAGUCAGGUUCCUCUGUGUAUUUAGAUCUUGCAGUAUUUUGGUUUGCUUUAAAUAAAGCAAACAGAACCCACAUAGGUAGCCCUCUGUUAACUUUUCAAUUAUGAAACAAGGGUAUGUACUGGGAAAUUCAGUGAGUUUGUAGAUAGCCUGACACAGUGGAGGGAAUGUGGUAGCAUCUUCAAUCCAAGCUUUUAUUUUUUAUUUUGUCCAAGCUCAGUGGUGGCUCGUUACAUGCCUUUGUUAACUGAUUCUUUCAGUGGGUGAAAGGUCGUAUAAAAGUUAAUCUGAACAGCGAAAGCUAAGACUGAGAAAUCUGGUAAAGGAGUUGGAGAAGCACAAAGUUAGAGGGAGAGAAAGCAGAAAGGUGGAAAAUGGAGCAGAGCAAGCAUGGGCUCUCAACACAGUCAUUGUUGUAUGGAUAUUUGUGCAGUGUGGUUAAACAAGAGUAGCUAAGAGUCUUUUUACUACAUGAAGUCUAUACCUCUGAUCUCUGUGUGGUCUUCACUGACUGCACUGAGAAAUGGUGUUAGACGAAAAAGAACAACAUUUAACUGUUCCCGGGCUUCAUCUGGGUUAUUGGAUUGGGUUUUUUUUCUGUCAAAGUUAACUGGUAUAUAAUUUCACCUUUUUAAUAGCAUUUUUGCACUGUGCUAGCAUACAUUAAGGGAAAAAACCCAAACUUUUUCUAACGUCCUAUCACGUUGUGGGUGCACUGCAGUAACACCAGAACUCUCCUGCUGAAUGUGACCACAAGGUCAGCAGCAUCUUCCUGGCAGCCCACAGAUGUGUCAUAGCCGCUGUCCAGUUUUUGGCCGCCUAUGUACGGUCAUGCUCUGGUUACUGAACUGACAGGCCUUCAUGUUCUUCUAGCUCACAGUUUCUUUAGGUGAUUGUUUUUGCACCACUUUAUGCCGCUUAUUCAAACGAACACAUGGUUUAGCCAGGGAACUCUGAAGUUUUGUUUGGUACAUGAUUUCCUUCAUUAAGCUUUCUUUCAUUGACAGUAUCUGUGUGUCUGUCUGGAUGAUAUUUCAUCCCCUGAUCACAAAUAAUUUUAUGGUUUAUGUUUGUUAUUCGUUAAAAGUCCAAAGGAUUUUUGGAUCACAGAUACACAAAUUUAUCUGCCAUAUAUAAUUUCUACCCAAAACAUUAACUGUCUGCAAAAGCAUUUAAUAACAAUUCUGAAAUAUAAAAAUCCAUAUUUUCCCAGAUAAAUGAUACAGUUCCAACCCUAAUGCUUUGUAAAAUUACAAAUAUAUGUUAUUUUUUGAAUGAAGCAGAAAUGGCUAAAUGUUUUUCUUUUCUUUGCAAUUAUUUUUUUAAUUUAGUACCAAAUUUCUCUCUAGCCACAAACUACUCUAUUCUAGCUAUGAAUAACAGUCAACCUGCAUGCUGUAAGCUCACCAAGAGCCAGUAUAUGUAUAUUUAAUAUUUAGAAUAUUUUUGUGUGAAGUUUGUAUAGUUGAAGUACUACUUAGUUUCAACAUCCAGAGAAUUAUUUCUGCCAUAGGUGUAGUGCUCUUCUUUCAAUUACAUCUAGACAAAUAAAUAUAAUAUUUUUGAGAAACAAAGUAUAUGAAAAUUAUUCUGCUCAAAUUUGUCUACAUAAUCACAAAAGAAGAUCACAGAAAAGUUUUAAAAGGCAUGAAUUACGUGCUUAGAAAAGGUGUACCCAGUCUGAAAGUGUGAUACUGCUGAACUGUAGAGCAGCCACUGUGGUAUGGAUUAAAGGAAUCAUUAAGAAACUAAAAAUUGGAGGAACAGGGAAAAGCAGAACUGAGCAAAGCGGAAAACAGCCUAAAAAUGGUGUGGUUUCAUUUAGAACAUUUUCUCUUCUUUUUAAAUACCUCACUGAAGGAAUCGAAUAAUACCCUAUAUUGACCAAACUAUUAAUUAUGAAAAGUAAACAUGCUGAGAACAUUAUGGGGAAGAAACUUUGCAGAGGACUGUGGAGCUGAGGCAGGUCUCCUUUAGCAUUGCAGUGAGCUGGCAUCCGUGGAGAGCUGGUAGAUGGCUUCAGGAGGUCAUGGUUUUGAUUGUAUACUGAUCCUGUCGAUGGAUUGUGCCCCCCAGCAUCACUGGUUUAAUGUCAUCUACAUAGUAGGUGCUGAUGGAGGCAAGCGUCUGAAUCUCAGAUUAUAUGCUGUUUUGAAGCAGGUGCUGGGUUUAUAUUAUCAGUCUUUACAGCAAUUGGGAGUGGACUUGUGGUGGUGUUACUAUGGGGAAGAAGAAUCCAGUCAUCUGCUGUGUGACCCUCCAUGCUCACCUGCCUGUAUUCUUGGCAUCCUUAUCCAGCAAUGCAGCUUGUACCACAUCAUCAGGUCACCCUUCGAGCGUCCACAAUUGCUCACGCCUGCUUUUUGGCCAUAUGUGUUUCUAACAAUAUAUAUUCCCAGUGGAUGCUUAAGUUAUGUGAAGACUUUCAUUGGUAAAAUUCAUCUAAUAGAGCUUGUCUGUAUUCUGGAUGAAGAUAAAGGCCAAAUUGGCAAAGUGACUUGAAGAUUUGUAACUUGGGUGUAUUAUUUUUAUCUAGGAGAGUGAAAGGAUUCCUCCUAUUUCAGUUUUCUUUGAAACUCAAAUGUAAAGUGCAGAAUGAGGACCAUUUUUCUUAAAUGAAAAUACAUUACUUCAGUGCAUUAAAAAAAAAAAAAAGUCUAACAUGUUAGCGCUUUGGCUGAACAAUCAGAGUAAGUGUCCUUUGCUAUACAAACCUUGUCCUCAUGAUUAGGUUAGAAGAGCGUGCGUAAGGCAGUUGUGACAAACAGUGUGGUUUUGGUUACAGAGCUAGAAACAGGUGCAGUUCUAGCAGUUGCCAUUGCAAAAAGAAAAAAAUGCAGAAAAACAGAGCAAGGGAACAUCACCACCCACUAGACUUUUUUGUGUGUUUGUUUUCAUUUUCAUAGACACCCAUUUUCUUGUGUUACCAUUAGUAGAUGUCUGUGGAGAAGAUCAUGGUAAACUGCUGGCGGGUGGUCAAACCGUGUGUUAAACAGUAAGGGCAUCAGCCUUUCAAAACCAUCAAUAACCUGUUUUUAGAUACGGGUUUGUGGAGUGAAUUGGAAUAUGUGCUCUUUUAUUGGAAGGAAAUUGAACUUUUGUACUGAAAUAGAACAGCUUGUAGGCAGCAUUUAGGCAAAGGUAUACUUGUUUCUCAAAACCUACUGUUGGCAUGGAGCUGGGGGUGGUCAUCAGCCAAGUACUGGCUGCAGCAGAGGAAAUGGCACUUCUCCUCAACGCCGGAUUAUACACUUUUCCGCUUCACUCGUUUAUAACUCCGUUCUCUUGGAUGCAGCUGUUUCUCCUUCUUGUUUACAUAUUUUUCUGUAGUUCCAAUGACUAUUUUCCUUUAAGAGUAGUUUGUGGUGAAAAAUAAGAUUGCGCUUCACUCCACACUUAAGGCAUUGUAACUGCACUGGCUUUGGUGGUAGCUUUGGUUAAUCAGUAGUGUGAGAGGAUAAUCAUCCCUGUCAAAUGAUUGGUAAAGACUAAGCAAAAAGAAAACCCCAACUUUAUAAGAAAAGGAUUGUUUUUAUUUUAAAUAACUGAAUAUUUUUGCUUCUAUCUGUGCUAUUUUAGAAGCUAUAUGCUGCAACAGGAAAAGAAAUACCACAAAAGGAGUUAAGUUCAUAGCCAUAGUACAACCACGAUCACCUUACAGCAUGCAAAAUAGUACUUUGACUUUAGCAAAGAUCAGUUGAGCUGAUCUGCCCCCUCUACUGCAGUUCCCUUCUCUUUCCUUCCUCAUCCACUUCCCCUCCCUGAUGGCCCUUCCCUGUGAUCUGUCCUUCUUUCAGAGUCGCAGCCUGGUGUGUACAAACAUCUUCUGAAGUAUGUGGAAAAAAUACUGAUUGAUUGAUUUCCAGGUAGUUGUAAGGGAGUUUUUUCUGAAGGGUGUGAAAAUAAAUAAAUAAAUGUCCCAGGUAGCUUUCCAAAUACAAAUAAAAUAUGGUUAAACUUUAUCCGCUCUUCAGGUAUUUUCAGUAUUAAUCAGGAAUACCUUUUUUUGCCACAGUGCAACUACUAUUAAAUACCGCUACAGUAAGUUCCUUUCCAGAAUUAAACCAGGAAUCUUAUUUACACAUUGCUUCAGGGAUGGCAGCUGGUGUCGUAAAGUAUUUUCUGCUGAAAGAAAAGAGAAUGUAGCUGGGGCACAGAUCCAAAAAAAUGGAAUUCAAGUGCUUAAAUCCAAAGUUUCAGUUCUGAAGUCAUCCUGAAACCGGCUUUGUUUCUGGCUAAUGUUUAGGUGACCAGACCCCGUGCGGGCACAGAGCCUGGUGUGAGAGCUGCAGGCAGCUGCUGUGGGGCAGGCACUGAGGCUCUGACAGGUAGAGGUGCAGGAUACCUGCCCAGCAGCACUGACAGUGGAGGCAGCUCUCCUCCAGCUUCAUUUCUUGGAGAGUGACCUGGAGGCUGCUCUUUGGGAGUGACUUGCAAGCACCAGUGCCAGGGUCCCCCUGUAAAAUGAAGGGGCGUCUCGUUCUGGGGGGAGUCCGGGUGCCAUUGCCCUUUCCAUGCAACCCUUUGAGAGCACUUAGCAAGAAAUGGGAAGCCCAGGAUUCAAAUCCUUUCUUUUCCUGAGAAGUCACAAAUUUUCCACUUCUCUUGAGAGUGCUCUAGCUCCCGGCAGCUGGCUUUUGGGAGGAGUGUGCCGCCUUCCGUCCCUCCCCGCCUGCGCCCGGCUCCCUGGAUCCAAAAAGGAAGAGUAGUGCAAAACAUUGUGGUGUGAUCUGAUCACAGAGCACUGUCGAGGAGAGGAGUGCUGGGUAUAUGCGUAGCUCCACAGGCUGGCACUCCUCUCGCUGUUGCAGGUGUGUAUUUCAAGCACUUUAUCCCUAUCCAGGUAGUGCCGUGUUCUCUGUUGGGUACAAGAUACAGCAGCUUUACAAUCAAGCCUUUGUACACUGUAAGAGUAAUGCCAACAGGCUUCUCGAUGUCUGUGUGUGACAGCAUUGGGAUGCUAGGCUUGCUGCUUCUCAAUAGUUUUGUGAGGAUGUUUGCUAUUUUUGGACUGCAAAUCUUUAAGUAACUUCCAAGACCCUGGCACUAGAUGGAGCUUUAAUCUACUUGCACUUAGAAGUCUAUUAAGUUUAACCACAAAUUAAAAAAAUAGGGAAGAAUAGAUGAAGAUAUGUGUGCCUGCUGCUACAUUUACAGUUCCCUUUUUCCCUUUUGUUAGCUGAGUGUUGUAAAUUAUAAUUUAAAUUUAAUUUAAAUGAAAAUUAAAAUAUUGCAGUAGAAUCUCCUCGAUCUAGUAGGUGCUUUAUAAUCACUCUUAGUAGCACCCCUUAAUGUACGUUCAGGCUCAUGGGAGAAGUUGCUGUCAGAUAUGCUGAAAAUGUGCUGCAUAUUAAAGCUAAUACCUGGGCUGUGCUGAAUAGAGGUGAUGCCAUUUUCUGAACAAAGUUCUGUGUAUAUUUCAGGAUGGGGUGGAGGUGACCAAGCCUUCUGUUUGCUCUGCUCAUUCAGUAAUGCAUUUGCAUUUUUACUUCAUGCUACCAAAGGCAACAGUUCAGAAUCACCUGUAUCAGUCACUUCAUUUUUCCUCCAUGUGCUACCCUUGAAAAUACUGAACAAAUAGAAACAAAUAAAAACCAGCUUUGAAACUGUAGUGUUUAAGACUUUUCAUUUAGCAAGCACCGUGUCUCACGGGCUGCACGGCACAUAUCAGAAAUUUAAGACUAGCUCUGCCUUCCACAGAAAUAACUGGAAGUAGGUUUAAUUUUGUUCUUGGGUGCCUGUGUUCUUAUUAGCAAGAGACUGAUUUGGUCAAAACCAUUGUUAGACACUGAAGUAGCAAAUACGUAAUUAGUUCCUAUUCACAGCCCCUCUGCUGUUUUAUUAAAUGGUUUAAUGUAGUAAACCAGGAGAUGCAUACUUGGGAAAAAAAAUCACAAGGCAUGCUGUUCUCAGAGCACUGGAGGUGAUAAAAAAAGAUGAUUGCACAUUUCAUCUCACUCCCAUCGUCUUCUCAAGGUCUAAUCCUUCAGUGUCUUUCAUGUUUUAUCAGCCUGACUAAGGGACUGCACAUACCACAGAAUGAAAAACCUCUGUAGAACAGUUUGCAUGAAUGCUGUAUUGCCAAUAUGAGCAAAAGCUCAUAUUUCUGGAAGAUUUCUACUAUACUACAAAACUGUUAAGGAACCAUAUUGUAUCUGGAAUAGUACAUGCAGUGUUGUAGACGACAGGGUUUGCAUAUGGCAAUCUGCUUAUAGUAUUGGCUGUACGGAGUAGGGAAGCGGCACAAGCAGCUUUCAGAAAAAGGGUCUGUUGGAGAAAGUAAUUUUAGAAGAGUUUCAUAGUUGACCUGGCAAAAUUUUAAUUGCUACUUGUGACCAGGUUAAGUGUAUUCAAAGUCAUAAUUUCCAUAUGAAUCAAUGGAAGUUUGGUUCUUAAGAAUCUUUUAAGAAUUUGUUGUCACCAGUUGCAUUCAGACUGUAAAAUUUCGGUAGUCUGGUUUCAAGGGAAGUAGUUUGCUACCUGUUGAAGACAGAAGUAAGUAAUAGGAAUGAAUACACUGGUACCCAAUUCUUCAAAUGCAUCUGGAGAGCAAUGAGAGGUUAUAAUUCCUGGUGGCAUCACUGAUACAGGGCAUUAAAAGGUUAAAUGUGAUUAUUUCUUUACACUUUCAUUUUACAAAAGUAGCUUGUAAAAGUACUGAGGGUCAAAGCGUGCUGGAGCAUUCUGUUACAUUUGGCAGUUCCUCUGCUGGUGUGUACACAGACACCGUUUCAUUAAAUGGGUGGAUGUAUCUGGUAAGCUGUCCUUUGGCACCACCAUCAUUAUACAGAAAGCAUAUCUACAGAAAUAAGUGUCAUAAAAUCUGCACAGUGCAUAAAUGAACUUUUAUUUCUUUUUUUAGAUGUUCUUUAUCUCAUUGUCCCAUAUACCAAUUAAUGUGGCUGGACAACUAUUCCUGUUUUCUUGGAGGUGGAAAAGAAGAUGCAGACGCUACAUUUUCAAAGAUGGGUGUAGGAUUUACCCGCAAAGCUUCCUCUGACCUGAAGACCUGGAAAAGUUUCCCCUUUGUAAAUGUGGGGGUUAGAUUGUAAAUUAGAUGUGUAUGUUCAGAUAAAUAACUGUAACCCCUGAAGUCUGGAUAACAUCUUGGCAAGUAAACUAAGCAGGUUCAGGGAAUGCAGAACAAAGGAAUGUGUGGUGACUAAGGACUGAUUAGUUUAUACAGAAUAUGACAGCAAGACCAUAUUUAUAUAGAUGUAUGUUGUCCACUGCUUUGCUGUCUACAUUUCAGUACUGCCCAAGGCGUGGUUUAUGCCCUUGCUUUAAGAAAUUCUUGAGAAGCACGCUCUUGUUUACAUGGCUGACUUUUUUAGUGUCCCCUUUAAAAGUGGAUGUACAAAACUGCAGACACAACUCCGGUGUUGUUCAUGCCAAUGCCACAAGCAGAGCUAAAAUCACCUCCUUGUUCCUUCUUACUACCUUGCACCUGCUCAAGCACAAGCAGUUGCUGGAGAGGGAGAGUGGUAGGUCAAACUGAGACUUAACACAGACGGGUCCACCAUGCUUGGAAGAAUUAGGCUACACUAUUUCUUCUUUAUCCAUAUGUAUCCUUUUGUGCAAGAGACUAAAUCUACAGUUAUGAAUAUUUGAAAUGUAAAAGUUUAUUGGGGAAGAAAUCCAUCUUUUUUUCUGUAGCAUGCUGGGGAAAUAUUCCUGUGUAAUUAAUGAUGUUCUCUUUAGGGUUUUUCACCUUUAAAGACUAGUUUGCACUACUGAAUGUGCAAUGUUGGAAAUUCAAACUGGUCACAGAGAGAAAUGAAAAUAAAUCACUUAACUACUCAGAAUGAUCCUUACUACUUGCAGGGAUCAGGCUAAUGAAAUCAAGCAAGGAAGCAGCAAACAUGCUCUUACCUCUGUUGAUGUAAACCCAAAAUAAUACUACAGCCUUGAAUGGAGGUCAUGUGCCACUUGUGCUUGGGUUGGUUUCCAGGAUAGCUGGUGUGAGUCAGUCUGCCAGAAGUAUGGAAAGCCCCAUGUUGUGGAUAACUCCCAGCCUGACCUUUUGUACGGAGCCAAUUACCAACAGCUGGGAAAGGUCUCAUCAUCAAAGCUUUCUCCGUGAUGUGGAGGUGGGCGCAGUCUACCAUCCAGCCAGCAGCCCAGGGAUGCCUGCGGACCCACCUUAGUGAGCACCAAUAGGGAGCCUUCCAUGCCAUGGUGGAGUCCAGAGAUGUAGGAACCCCCUUCUUGGAGGCUGCAGAAGCAAGGUCUCAAAAGCUGAACUGCUCUAAAUUCACAUGCCAAUGCAGAACCUAUUUUUCCUGACUCCGUGCCCUGCACUCAGCUAUCAGUCUUGCCUGUGAUGCUGUAAAGCAGAUAUUGCUGUGGAAGAGCCUGGCUGAUGAGAAACACAUAAUUCCUGUUCACCUGCUUGAGCAUCAAGUGGUGUCAACUGGGAUAACUGGAGAAGCCCAUCUCUUUCCCUUGUCCUCUGCUAUCAGUUAAAAGAUACCUGACAAGACUGCCUUCUCUUUCCCAUAUGAGUUGCUGCAAAGUCUGUUCAACCUCUGCUGCUGUUAAUGAUGAGCAUGGAUGUAAAGGUCAGCGAAGUGCUGGCCCUAUGGGCCUGAAACAUGACUCUGACAAAAGAAAAUGCUGUCAGAUUCACAAGGCAAACAGACUUUUCUGGCGGAACUGCCAUCACCUUGCUGGGAGACUGAAGUGGUGAGAUGCAGACCUGUGGGUGCCUUGCCAGGGAUUUGUUAGAAGGAAACCUAAGCAAUGAAGAAAGUAAGGAAAUCUCACCAGGAGCAACACCCACGUGCAGGUACCAAAUGCCUGCAGGUACGUGAAUUCAGCUGAUGCAAAGAAGCUGAAUUUAAAAUGCACUACAGAACAAAACAGGGCCAGCUGGAGGAUUUCCUGUAAGAGAAAGGAAAAGCCUGGGGAGGCAGCAGGCAGAAACACUUUGCUGUGACGCAUUCUUCCUGGCUUUUUCAGGAUUACGAACCUUUCUGCAGCAAGAUCUGAAACAGCCAGAUUGCGGCUUAGAUCAAAGUCCCUAGGAUUCACCUGUGAUUUCCAGUUUUGCUGUUUUCUGGUUGGAGUAUUUUUUAUAGUCUUCAUUGUAAGAAAACCCACACAUGAAGAGAGAAGUAAAUGGAAAACAAAUUAUAGGCAUGGCCAUUAAUUCUUCUGGGGAAAGGAUGCCCGACUUCUUCAAGUGUCCAGACCUGCUGCAGAAUAUGUGAGAUCUCCAUCUAGUGCAUGUUAUGAAAUAUUUCAUUCCGAACACAAGUACAAGAUAAAUGUGGUUGGAGUGGAUCUUGACUUGCAUCAAGAAAUCAAAGCAGGCAUGAAGGGAAGAGAGUACGGUAUGUCAAACAGCAUUUUUUUAACUGUGCAGAAAGUACUGAUUAAAAGAUGCUGGUUUUGCACUUCAGUAGAGAAAACUGUGGGUAUGUGGAUGUGAUGGACUGUUAUAAUAUUAGAAAUAAUUAGAAUUAACACACUUUUUCUUACUUCUUAAAGAACAUGUAUUUCUGUGGAAUGGUACAAGUGCACGGUGAUGCUGUGAGCGACACUGAGCAGUAUGCGGUGCACGGCUGGGUGGUUUCUUCUGCCCACGGCUUGUAGCCGUACCCAAGCAGGGCACUGUUCACAGCUGGCAAGCGUGCUGCAUCAUGUGUUACUGUCACUCAGGGGACGCUCUGUCUCACACAAACCUAGCUCAGCCAGGGUUUUCCCAUCCCACUCACGACAGGAGAGGGCUGGUGAUUCUUGCCGCAGCUGCAAAAGGGCGCUGUGCAGCCUGCGAACGUCCGUUUUGCCUGUGCUCCCUGCCAGAGCCAGGCGGCAAAAGCGAGGGGAGAAGGGAAGCUGGCUGCAGCACUGUGUGGCAAGCCGAACAUCAGUGACAAAUGAGGAGGGUCCAGUUUAGCGAGCGUUCCUUGACCUGCCCGUCUACUACCAACAGCCAAAUAUCGUCAGCACUUCUUCAUCCCAGGAGCACCCGGUCCCUUUCCUAUUGACAAAAAUACCCUGAAAACAUCUCAUUCUGUCUCACACUCUCUCGUCUGCAGCUCCUUUCUGGAGCCCAGCACUUCUAGCUCAUCCACCAUCUCUUUUGGCACCCAAGGAUCUUCCCAGCCCACAGAAACUGCACAGCUUUGUGGCUGUCAGGUUUUGUUCAGCAACAGUGUAUCUUGCUGUGACUAUUGCUGGGGCAAGAUGGGUCGACCUUAUGUUGGUAUCUGUGGCAUUAUGCAAAUUUUUGCAUCUAUGAAAGUUACCCAGUUAAGUUGUGUUCCUUAAAUGUCUCAGGGUUUCUCAGAAAUUGCCUCUGAGCUGAUGCUCACUGCUCUAACCAGCACAUGCCCAGCUUAGCUGCAUGCGCCGCCGAGCAGCCCGGCUGAUGGCUGAAUGCCACGAAUCUUGGUGUUUGAGGAAGACCUUCUCUCAGGAGAAUCAUGCUUUACUGGGUGAGCAGGAAGACCUGUCUCCAUGUCAGCUGUCAGCCAAGGAGCAGCAAAUCAGUAAGUUGAGUAACAAACCUCCAAAACUAGGGUUUUGCUGCUCAAGAGUUCUAGAAGUAUGUGAAACCGAUGCUGCUCAGCCAACUGUGGUGUGGAUUUCACUGUGUAAGUUAGCACUGAUGGCUGAGAAAUGGAAGUCAGCAUAUGUAGCUAAGCCUUUUAAAAGGCUUCAGAGGUAAUCCAUUGAUCUGCUAACGAAUGUCAAGGUUUUUUACCAAACAACCACUUGGGAACUGAAUUUGUGUAAUUAUUGUUUCUGCUCCUUUAUGGUUUGCAAAAUGUUGGGGAUAGCAAAUACUUUCCAGAAGACUGGAAACGUUCUUGAUGUCUGAUGCCUCUACUGGAAAUCUUUGAAAUAGUCUGCAAGAAUGUGGUUAAAGCGAUACAGUCAGCCCCAAGUACUUCAGUUGCCUUCCUGUGAGGAGCUGAUAAUGACAGUUAUUGAAGACACUGUUGGACUGGAUGAACCUCAGACACAUUUUUAUGUCCCUUUGCCUUUGAUGGCAUCUAAAGCCUGAGGCAGUCUGUGUUCUCCAGAAGAGCUUGAUACAGAGGAGUCACUUGCAUCAUCUUGAUUUGUGCAACGUUUUCCUAGUAGAGGUGCAGAUCUUUGUGCAAUAACAACAGCUUGCAAAAAUUACUUUUUGUGGAAGCUCUAGAAAUAAUCAACAGAUCUCAGUAGUCCAGGGCCAUAGGCAGGAGGAGGAAGGAGCAGUGCACUGCUUCACUUUGUCUUGAUUUGCUCUUAUUUAGUACAUGCCCCCAAAGGACAUCCUUGAGCUUUUCCAUGCCUCUGACAGUGAUGCCAAAAGCAACAAAUACCUCUAGCAAGCAUCUGAAUGCCCUGAAAACCAAUGAGUUUUAUCAUCAACCCAGAUCUGGAGCAACUCUAGUGAAUAAAUGCUGUUUUUCUAGAUUUGAUUGGGUGUGUGGCAGAUAACUACUUUGCCCAGUACAGCUGGUAAGAUGCCUUAAUGACUCCGUGCCCAGGAAGAGCAGCAACAAUAGAUUCAGAUGGCAACAAGUAACUUUUGUUCAGCCCUUAGCCACGUAGAUACGUAGCCAACAUUAGUCAUCUGGAGUACACAGAAAGCCUCUGGAAGCUUCACAGGAGAGCUGUUGAUGUUCCUUGUUCUUCAGAGGUCCCUCAGCAGCAUCCCCCAAGAAAAUGCGGUGAAACGAGUAGUUUAAUUGUCGGGAAUAGCAUGUUGCCACCAAAGAGCACAUUUCUUCCAGCCUUGAAUCUGCUUUUUCAUUUUCUCUCUCUAAGCCAACAGUAUCGAUCACCUCGGUGUGCUCUGCCCUUGCUGUGCUGAUGAGUUAACUCCCAUUGUUCCCUGGAAGCACAUGCCGGCGGGGACCUCAUCACUCCGAUCACUAUCAGUCCUUGUUGGACGCUGCAUUCCUUUAGGAUAAAGCUUUAGAAGGGCUUUUGUGGGAUCCAUCAAUGAGGCAAACAGGUCUGACAGCCCCAAGAGCCCAGCAUCACUCAGGCUAACCCAGCCGCACUGUGCUGAGGCAGUGAUUGCUUUCCUUUUUUUCACUAGCUUGUGAGCACAUUUUGCAGCUUCUUUUUUGUUAAUUCUUGCAAAAGCUCUCCUUCCUCUCUGGAGCAGAAUGGCACAGGAGUUCGAGCUAAAUCCUUAAAUGGGGUAUGGAGUUUUUCUGGCAUUUAUGUAUAUUAAAUACAGGUUUAACUCUCUGGCUGGAGUGGACCACCACGCUGGGGUCAGCGAGUCCAAAGCAGUGACUGGUGUGAGUGGGGCAAGGCUUCCCUCCCCAGGAGGACGUGGACCCCCCGUGGCAGCAGACACGGCAGAGGUGGGAGGCUUGCCUGUCACCUUUCCAGAGGAGCAGUGGGGAGGAUCAGGUGGACGGUCCCACGUCCCCCACCCAGAGCCCACAGGGGCUGGAGCUCAUGGGGAAAAGGGUUUGCGCCCAGUUAUGGUCCAGCGUGCAAUGGAAGGUGGAGCUCAGCUCAGCGAGUGCUGCCUGGUGCAGGGUGCAGAGCUCAGCUCUCUUGGGUGACCUGCAGCAGCCAAAGCACUCCCCUGUGCAGCUGUACUGGGGAUCAGCAGUAAAUGCACUUGCAUUACAUUAAAAUUACUUCCUCAAAUAUAUUUGUUUGUAUUCAUGUUUUCCUUACUUAAAUUGAGCCCAUUUCAGCAUAUACGUGCCCAUUCAUGUGCAUCUGUACAUGUAUGUCUGAUCACAACUGCCAGCAUAUUUGGGUCUGUAUAACUGUUAUCCAGAGUCUGGAAAUACUUUGCACAUUCACAGUUAUGUGCAGGAAAGGAAUCCUGUGCAGUGCAAACUCUGCGUAACCUCUGUAGUGUCUGGAGCAACAAUAAAGAAUUUGGGAUUGGGAAUUUACCGCACUGUUAUUUAUUGGAAUUGCAUUCCUAAGAGGACAAACCAGGGCCUUGUUGUGCUAGGUUCUGCAAUUUAAAAAAGCCUUUGCUUUGAUGGAUUUACGGCCUAGGUGGCAUUGUUCUGUUCUUGAUUACAAGUUGUUUUUCAGAAAACAAGUCCAGUUUAUUAAAUUAUCUCCUAAAAUAGAAAUUUUAUGUAGCAAAGUUCCUCUGUGCUUCUGUUCUUAGUAUAAAACAAAUGCAUUGACUUCUGUAGUUGAAGUUGCACAUACUAAAGAAGAACAUAAAGUUUCUUUAAUUUUGUUUUAUAUUCUUUGUGUAGUUUUGUAUGAAAGUUGGGAUUAUGUGACCAUCUUGUGGCUGUAACACUUGUCAGUUCAUUCAAAUGAAUGUCUUAAUUUCUUAUUUAUUAUCACAAAGUUUAUUGGUUUGUUAGUGGCAAUACCCAAAUUUAGAAUGCCUGGAAGGUGAACUCACCUCUAACCCUCGACAUUGGAGAAAUCACACAGAAAGCAGCUGCAGAUCGCCAGGUUCACAAGCGCUCCCGUUUAUUUGUCUGUGUGUUUCAGAGAUUAUUUUUAGCUUGUUUUUCAUAUCAUGAUGCAAAUGUAAAGUAAGCCUUAUUUUGCAAAAGCUUGGAAGUGACUUUGAAGCGUAAGAAUCUGUCGGGAAGUGUAUUUGAAAAUCUCAGCCGUUCUCAGAGCAACAGCGAACAAUACAAAUUUUGUACAGGCAGGUGACUUGUGAAGAUGGGAGUCAUGUUAAGAAAACGUAGAAGGAAAUCAUGCAGUUCUGGGGCGCGCACAUUCACGGGGCCAGUGAGUUAGAGACUUUUACAAAGCCACCUUGUUCUUCUCCCAGUUUCAGUGGGCUUUCAUUUAACAAAGAAAGUAGCUGGAAAAAUUACCCAGAAAUAUUUGACCUUCAAAAAGGCCUCUAAGGCACAAUUACCUGAUGUUCACUGAACUGGUUCAUGUGGUUCCCAAUCUAAAUGACUCUCUAGGUUCACCCAUGUGUGAAAAGGGGUCUGAUUAUGUGGAAGAGGGCAAAUGAGAAAAGAAACUUCAGGAAGGAGAGAAAUACACCAGGAAUUUUACUGGUUAUGUUUGCUUCAAGGGAAGGAAAGGGCAAAUAAAUGUAGCCAACUGGCUUUGAACUUCAAAAGAAAGUAACAUAGGAGAGAUGUGGGGUAUCAGUAGCACUCAAUACACGCUGUUCCAUAGAGUUAGGUAGGGAUUGUAGAAUACAUCGUACUUGGCUUUCUUAGCCACAUAACAAAUCCUUUUUUUUCCUCAAGUACACAAAAAUAUAACAAAAAGCCUGUUUCCCCCCCAUGUCUUUUCUUCUGCCCUUCGUUGCUCUGCACACAGGAGAUCACUUGGAUGUCUGGCCACCAGUGUUCACAUCAGGGUCUGGCCAUGCCCUUUCUGCAGAAUUUCAGCUCUUUCCACUGCAUGCUCCUGACACUGGAACAAAGCAAGCGAGUUAUCUAGGGCUGCAAUCUCCAUUAGGCUUUAGGGAAAAUACUUUUUUAAGGAAAUAAAUUCCAUGGUUGACACAAAAGUGCCUCUACCAUGCACUCUUUUCAGUGGAAGGUAUAGCCAGGUGCACGUAAAAGUAUGACUUUAAUAGUUCAGUAUUGGCAGAGACACAAAGCAGCAUUUUGUGUGCUGCGCCUCUGCUCUGAACUGCCAGCAGAAUUGCAUGGGUGCGCAGAGAGGCAGACCCUCAUACGGUGUGAAAACAGCAACACCUGAAAACUUGAAGACUUCUUGAAACUAGGGAAUUGGAUUUCCAUCUUUGAUGAGAGAGCACAGUGUGCAAUGGGAAGUGCGAUUGUACGGAAGCAAAUAUUUCUAAAUAAUCUUGGAACAUCAAGACUUUCAUGAAUAAAAGCAAGUAGUCAGUACCCCUUCUGUCUGCAUUAUCUAACAAAAGGAAAAAAUUCUCUGAGGCAGGGUAGAAAGGUGAGAGCAUCAACAUGAUAAUUGUACCAUUGAAGCAGUUUUCCAUUAUUUGACCAAGUAUCUUUGUAAAAAAAAACAAUCAGAUUUCACAUUGGAGAUAGUGGCUUGGAAAUUGAAACUCUAAAUCCAGACAGGUAACGAUCAGAAUUUUUGAGUAGUUCAAUGUUUCAAUCUUGCUUUGUUAAAAUAGCAGUAAUCUCCAGUAUCCAUGGGGCAUCAUAGCCAGCUCUGCCUGAGAAGUCCUUUGAAGACAGGUUUUGACCGUGUCCCACUGUGGUCUGCAGCGUGUGUCUGAUUUAUGGUUGAAAUCUUUCUCUUUGGGGACUUUGGUCAUGGUUUACUAAGCAUGAGCAGGCUCAUAGUCCAAGGCAAGGCAUUGGCACCUGGAACUGCAGAUAGGUGUCUAAAUCCCAAAUCAAAUGCGAAGGUGCCCUGUGAGUGUAGCACCUGCCAGCACAGCUCCUGUGGUGGUCAGCAAUUGCCACCAUGUAUGGCUCUGCCACAGCGCGCCCUGCGUUUCCCAGCCCUGUUCCCACUGGGACUCACACUCCUGGCUCUUCACUGCAUCUCGCUGCUGGGCCAAGACCCUCAACAUUCCUGGGGUGAGACCCCGUGGCAGUGCCGCUCCCAGCAGUGCUGUGGCACUUGGCGGAGCACCUCCAGCCAGAGGCUGCAUGCUGCACAGCCGCUCACCUUAGCGCUGAGACACGACGGGAGUGAGCAAGAUGUGGGGCUUGCGGCCUUUCAGGCAGAGGCUUAAUUGGAGCCCCGCUUGCCAGUGACGAGCUCUAUCUAACCAGCAGGUCACUGGGUGAAAGAAGGUUGCCUGUAGGCUGAGGCACCCACCUCCAGGAGGCAGUUCAUGUCUGUGGAUGAUGCCUCCAGGGUAAGCAGGAGACGGUGGUGGCAGGUGGGCAGAGAUACAGUGAAAUGUGGAGCAAUUCCUGAGCGCAACUAUCCCAAAAGGAUGGAAAUAUUGCACCUUUCUUGUUGACAUGAGAUUUUUCCAUUUGGUGCUAUGUGGCUCAACAUGCCAAGUUCAAAUUUGGAUCUAAAGCAUUAGACUCGAGUUUCCACAGAAUUCUGGGACUUUGGAAAUGUCCUGCUGUUUUUCAGCACAAACUCAUGAACUUGGAAUAAAAUGUUGGGGAAAAAACAGAACAGAUGAAAAAUAAGUGCUCAUGUAAGAUCUGAAGGCUGAGGCGGUCUCAAAGCAGUGGUCUUUCAUCUGUGUUUGGUUUCCAUCAAAUGCAGGAGCAACUCUGAGCAGGACUUGCCUCAGUUUAGGGAGGCAGAAAAAAAUCAGAAUACAUUGUAAAUAAAAGAAGAACCCUGAAUAAGAACUUUUUCAAAAAGCCAUUUCUUUUCCUAGAUAAGACAUCCAGAUCAAAAGUGAAGGGUGAUUCAGAAGAGCACUCAAGCACAUGGUUACAACAGCUCCCAGGCUCCUUCUGACUGGAAGGCCAGUUUAGUUUCAGCUCAUAGCAGCAUAAAUAUGGGAUGGUGUGGAGUUUGUCAGGCUCAAUUCUCUUCCUUUGGAGGCUAAAGACACACAUGUCCAUGCUCCUGAAUUCAUGCCCAUUCUGGAAAUUUGUUUGCCUGAUCCUUAAAUUUAUGUGUUCCUCUUGGUCUACACAAAGUGCACCAAGCUCUACCAAGCCCAUGGCAGUUAGCUGUGGGCCACAGAUGGAUGCCUCAGCUUACUGGAGAGACAGCGUGGAAGUGUUCUGCCUUCCUGCAAUGCGUGCUGCUUGUUAACAGCUGAUCCCAGAAAGGAGCUGACAUAAGGGCACUGAGGAGCAUGGCUUUAUAGAAAUGCACUCCCUGCAAUUCUGACUGAAAGGGUAUGUGCUGAGUAGUUAAACUACAGCAGCGAGACUGAAAUAUUUGAGAGGUUUCUACUGGAGCCUGCUUUUAACCAUCUGCAGCCCUGUUUGGAAAAGGAGUGUAGUUAGUACAUGCUUUGAGCUCAAAUUUGCACUACUUUGGUCUGGGAGGAAGAAUGGAAGAAAUGUUCUGAGAGCAAAUUCCACGUACGUCUUCUGCCAUCUGCUAAUAGCAUGUGUAAGCAGCUCUGCUGCCAGAAACAGAGGAACAAAGAUAACAUCGUUGUGGAGAAAAUUGCACUGCUCUGAAAAUGAGACUCUUAUUCCAGAUGACUUGAUAGCUCAGCACCCGCUGGGGACGAGUCUGCUCACGGACACUUGCAUACACCCAAGGUAACGUUGCUCAAAGUACCAUGAGCCCUUACAGGGGCAACGUCGUUUCUGCUGAGCCUAAAGAGCAAGUAAGUUUUAUCAUCCAUUCAGUAUGAUGGCCUUGUUGGAAUCCCAGAAAUGAAAUUAUUUAGGGCGGGAGGAAGGGCAAAAGCUGAAGAGAAGCUUUGCCACCAAGGCCACAUGCACGCAACUUGCAGAAAAAAAUAUGGCGAGUCCAGGCAGCAGUGAAACACCGAGGAAACUGUCAGAGUUAACCUUCCCAUGUCUUUUUGCAUCAUGUCAUUUGCGUGAUGCACGUGUCAUUGCCCCCUCUAACACUGCAACAACGGCAACGGGAUCGGAGCCGCCCCAGUCCCAAAGCAUGAGCUGCGUGCCUGUGGCCGGCAGCGUGCCGGGCUGCCUCCCUCCUGCUGCACAGUGGGUAUGCAGGGCAAGGGGUAACCAUGAAAAACGAGAUUUGCAGGUGUGAUCUCUGAGGUCUAACACAGUGUCUCUCUGCACUGUGCGGCUGUCACGGUAGAGUCAACACAGAGAAAUUCUACGCAGUACCAUUCUUCAAACCCCUCUGUUGCGCACUGGUUUGCAAUGGCUGGGUUACAGGUGAGACUGGUUAUCAGGAAGGAAAAUGAUGAAACAAAUUGUGCAAAACAUGCAGGUAACGUGUCAAAAAAGGAAUAAAAAUGACAACAGGAUUUUUGUUUGUUUGAUACAGCCUGUUAGAAAAGACCCCAGUAAAUAGCACUGUCUGUAUUUCUGCUUGCAGUCAGCUGAGCUUCAUCCUCUUCCAGGACUCUGUCUGUGAUAUUUCAGAAAAAAAUGUUAUUAGUAGAUUUCAGAAGUGUUUAAAUUUCAGUGUGGAGCUGGUGCAAGGACUGUCUGGUUGGUCUGACAAUCCUCUCAAAGGCAGAACAAUGAGGAAAAAGAUCUGCGUUUUCCUUAGCAGACUGUAGUGUAUAUUUAAAUAUUACUGCUGGAGCAGGAGGGGACAUGAAAUACAAGGUGGGUUUCUGCAUGGCUCACGCUAUUUUUGUGGCCCCCUUUUCUGCUUGGAAAACUUCCUUGGUUUUUCAGUGGCAUCUGUAGCGCUGGAAACUGGCACCAAGUUUCCUGCUUGAUGUUACAUUAUGAAAUAUUUAAUAGCAUUUUUAAGAGGGAAUGGGAGCUGUUUAUAAACAGCUUUUGCAUCUUUCACGUUUCUUAUUUCCCUGUUAGUGUUAGAGUAAUUGUAUUUGUGGCAGUGCUAGAAGAAUGCAGGAAUGGCACUACCUGGAGUCAUGUGGUUGCCGCAGAUCUCCACUGUGUGAUCCACCACGCCAGCCCUGGCUCUGUGCGCCCUGGACUCCCAAAUCUCUGGGUGAGUCAGGCAGCCAUGAUGUAUGUGCAGGGUAUGCAAAGUUUCUACCAAAGAUGUGUAAGCUCCUGGUUCUUGCAUCACUCCUAAAAUUCUAGUAUAAUAAAGUAA